UAAAUGAGUUGGGUCAAC
rnacentral:snRNA from 1 species